AACCCUGAAAAACAAACCUAUUUUUAUGGUGGAUUAUGUGUCAAAUGUACCAGAUGAUUUUGAAGAGGAAUCUAUGGCGAAGAGAACAUUACAACUGCGUUCUGCUAGCGAGUGCAAAAGAUUACACAAUGUGGUAGGUGCGGGAAUAAC